UACGUAGGGGGCAAGCGUUGUCCGGAAUCAUUGGGCGUAAAGAGCGUGUAGGCGGUCCGGUAAGUCCGCUCUGAAAGUCCGGGGCUCAACCCCGGGAGGCGGGCGGAUACUGUCGGGCUAGAGUCCGGAAGAGGCAAGUGGAAUUCCUGGUGUAGCGGUGAAAUGCGCAGAUAUCAGGAGGAACACCGAUGGCGAAGGCAGCUUGCUGGGACGGUACUGACGCUGAGACGCGAAAGCGUGGGGAGCGAACGGG
rnacentral:rRNA from 1 species